UUUUAAAAAAUUUCAUUCCUUUGUACUAUUAAAAACUAGUGUAUCUAACACAAUGACCGAACAGUGACAUAUGACAUGCCACUUGUACCUUAUGUUGAAGUACAGAGACUAGUUUUUAACUGUAAAAAUGAAAGAAAUUUUUAAUA
rfam:Gossypium hirsutum cultivar TM-1 chromosome 20, whole genome shotgun sequence